GGAGGAAAGCAGGGGAUCGAAAGACCUUGUGCUUUUAGAGCGGCCGAUGCCUGAUUAGCUAGUUGGUAAGGUAAAGGCUUACCAAGGCAACGAUCAGUAGCUGGUCUGAGAGGACGACCAACCACACUGGGACUGAGACACGGCCCAGACUCCUACGGGAGGUAGCAGUGGGGAAUUUUGGACAAUGGGCGCAAGCCUGAUCCAGCCAUGCCGCGUGAGUGAAGAAGGCCUUCGGGUUGUAAAGCUCUUUCGGUCGGGAAGAAAUAGUUGUGGCUAAUAUCCAUAACGAAUGACGGUACCGACAUAAGAAGCACCGGCUAAAUACGUGCCAGCAGCCGCGGGGAUACGUAGGGUGCAAGCGUUAAUCGGAAUUAUUGGGCGUAAAGGGUGCGCAGGCGGAUCUAUAAGUCUGAAGGGGAAUCCCCGGGCUUACCCUGGGAAUUGCGUUGCCUAAAGAGGGCUAGAAGGGC
rnacentral:rRNA from 1 species